rnacentral:rRNA from 1 species
UACGAAGGGGGCAAGCGUUGUUCGGAAUUACUGGGCGUAAAGCGUGCGUAGGCGGUGCGAUAAGUCUGUUGUGAAAUCUCCCGGCUUAACUGGGAGGGUGCGGUGGAAACUGUGGUGCUGGAGUGUGGGAGAGGUAGGCGGAAUUCCUGGUGUAGCGGUGAAAUGCGUAGAUAUCAGGAGGAACACCUGUGGUGUAGACGGCUUACUGGACCAUGACUGACGCUGAGGCACGAAAGCGUGGGGAGCAAACAGG